CACAGGGCACCCAUGUGAAGAGUUUUGGAGGACUCAGAUGAUUUUCUGCUAAAGCGGUGAGACAGAAGCCACCUCUUAAAAGAGAUUUCACAUGUGCACAAGAUGGAGAGAGUGAGGCUGAAUUUUUACCUGAUGACUUUGAAGAAAAACCAGAGAAGGAAAAGAAACAUACCAAUUUCACUUUGUGCAACGUUUGUAACAUUCAGCUCAAUUCGGCAGCUCAAGCACAAAUCCACUACAAUGGCAAAUCACAUCAAAAGAGAUUAAAACAACUGAGCAACGGGAUGCUGAAAAAUGACAACGAGACUGGAAAAACUUAAUGAAGUUAUCUGAGCUUCAGCCUCUUCGCCUGCAAUAUGGGUAAAAUAACAGUACUUGCUCUACAAGAUUGCUUUCAGGAUUCAUUGGGAAAACAUCUAAAGAGUUUAUUUACUGCCUGGCAUCCAGAAGGGUUUGAAAAAAGGUUGAAGAAAAUGUUUAUUGAAAAUAGCUAAACUGAAGGAUCUCUGAAGCCAGCAUAUACUUUGAAACCCUGGGGGAGAAAUAGAAGAACCAAUGGCCAAAUAAAAAUAUUCUGCAUAGAUCCUAAAUGUUUUUGCAUGUGUGCAGCAGUAAUUAUUAGAAAAUCCAAAAUUUUCAGACCUGUUGAUCUUCUAAGAGCUGCUAUAGUAUUUUUCUUGAGCCCUAGAAAUGUGCUAUUUAACUAUGACUGUAAACUAUUCCUCCCAUUCACUUUAACUUAUCUAUGAUAAAUAGGCACUAAUAAAGGGCUCUGUCAUUUAAAUAAAUGGCAUACUUCAUCACUUCCUUUUAACACUUUCUACCAUCCUUCAUAUUACCUGCACAGCUGACAAGUAGAAAAAUUAAAUGCACUGAGUCUCAUCUCUGCCUUGUGGUCUGCCUACCAUCUGGUAGGUUAUCAGUGCCCUGACAUCUAUGUUUUGGUCUCUUUGUUAUUUACUUUAA